rnacentral:rRNA from 1 species
GACGAACGCUGGCGGCGUGCUUAACACAUGCCAGUCGAACGGAAAGGCCCUGCUUUUGUGGGGUGCUCGAGUGGCGAACGUGUGAGUAACACGUGAGUAACCUGCCCUUGACUUUGGGAUAACUUCAGGAAACUGGGGCUAAUACCGGAUAGCAGCUCCUGCUGCAUGGUGGGGGUUGGAAAGUUUCGGCGGUUGGGGAUUGACUCGCGGCUUAUCAGCUUGUUGGUGGGGUAGUGGCUUACCAAGGCUUUGACGGGUAGCCGGACUGAGAGGGUGACCGGCAAAAUUGGGAAGGAGAAAAGGAAAAGAAUGCAAAGGGAGGAAGCAGUGGGGAAGAUUGCAAAAUGGGCGGAAGGCUGAUGCAGCAAAGCAGCGUGCGGGAUGAAGGACUUCGGGUUGUAAAACGCUUUAGCCUGUGAGGAAGCGUGAGUGACGGUAAUGGGUAAAGAAGCACCGGCUAACUACGUG